GAUGAACGCUGGCGGCGUGCCUAAUACAUGCAAGUCGAGCGAACAGACGAGGAGCUUGCUCCUCUGACGUUAGCGGCGGACGGGUGAGUAACACGUGGAUAACCUCCCUAUAAGACUGGGAUAACUUCGGGAAACCGGAGCUAAUACCGGAUAAUAUAUUGAACCGCAUGGUUCAAUAGUGACAGACGGUUUUGCUGUCACUUAUAGAUGGAUCCGCGCCGCAUUAGCUAGUUGGUAAGGUAACGGCUUACCAAGGCGACGAUGCGUAGCCGACCUGAGAGGGUGAUCGGCCACACUGGAACUGAGACACGGUCCAGACUCCUACGGGAGGCAGCAGUAGGGAAUCUUCCGCAAUGGGCGAAAGCCUGACGGAGCAACGCCGCGUGAGUGAUGAAGGUCUUCGGAUCGUAAAACUCUGUUAUUAGGGAAGAACAAAUGUGUAAGUAACUAUGCACGUCUUGACGGUACCUAAUCAGAAAGCCACGGCUAACUACGUG
rnacentral:rRNA from 1 species